UACGAAGGGGCUAGCGUUGCUCGGAAUCACUGGGCGUAAAGGGUGCGUAGGCGGGUCUUUAAGUCAGGGGUGAAAUCCUGGAGCUCAACUCCAGAACUGCCUUUGAUACUGGCGAUCUCGAGUCCGGGAGAGGUGAGUGGAACUGCGAGUGUAGAGGUGAAAUUCGUAGAUAUUCGCAAGAACACCAGUGGCGAAGGCGGCUCACUGGCCCGGUACUGACGCUGAGGCACGAAAGCGUGGGGAGCAAACAGGG
rnacentral:rRNA from 1 species